GCCGGGGGUGGUGGUGUGCACCCAUAAUCCCAGCUACUCAGGAGGCCGAGGCGGGAGGAUUGCUUGAGUCCAGGAGGUCAAGGCUGCAGUGAGCUAUGAUCGCACCACUGCACUCCAGCCUGGGCAACAGAGUAAGACCCUGUCUCAA
ensembl:misc_RNA Metazoa_SRP Metazoan signal recognition particle RNA